UGCAAGUCGAGCGGACGUUUUUGAGAGCUUGCUUCAAAAACGUUAGCGGCGGACGGGUGAGUAACACGUGGGCAACCUGCCUUAUCGACUGGGAUAACUCCGGGAAACCGGGGCUAAUACCGGAUAACAUCUAGCAUUUCCUGGUGCAAGAUUAAAAGAGGGCCUUCGGGCUCUCACGAUGAGAUGGGCCCGCGGCGCAUUAGCUAGUUGGAGAGGUAAUGGCUCCCCAAGGCGACGAUGCGUAGCCGACCUGAGAGGGUGAUCGGCCACACUGGGACUGAGACACGGCCCAGACUCCUACGGGAGGCAGCAGUAGGGAAUCUUCCGCAAUGGACGAAAGUCUGACGGAGCAACGCCGCGUGAGUGAUGAAGGGUUUCGGCUCGUAAAGCUCUGUUAUGAGGGAAGAACACGUACCGUUCGAAUAGGGCGGUACCUUGACGGUACCUCAUCAGAAAGCCACGGCUAACUACGUGCCAGCAGCCGCGGUAAUACGUAGGUGGCAAGCGUUGUCCGGAAUUAUUGGGCGUAAAGCGCGCGCAGGCGGCCUUUUAAGUCUGAUGUGAAAUCUUGCGGCUCAACCGCAAGCGGUCAUUGGAAACUGGAGGGCUUGAGUACAGAAGAGGAGAGUGGAAUUCCACGUGUAGCGGUGAAAUGCGUAGAUAUGUGGAGGAACACCAGUGGCGAAGGCGACUCUCUGGUCUGUAACUGACGCUGAGGCGCGAAAGCGUGGGGAGCAAACAGGAUUAGAUACCCUGGUAGUCCACGCCGUAAACGAUGAGUGCUAGGUGUUAGGGGUUUCGAUGCCCGUAGUGAGGGCUUGAGUACAGAAGAGGAGAGUGGAAUUCCACGUGUAGCGGUGAAAUGCGUAGAUAUGUGGAGGAACACCAGUGGCGAAGGCGACUCUCUGGUCUGUAACUGACGCUGAGGCGCGAAAGCGUGGGGAGCAAACAGGAUUAGAUACCCUGGUAGUCCACGCCGUAAACGAUGAGUGCUAGGUGUUAGGGGUUUCGAUGCCCGUAGUGCCGAAGUUAACACAUUAAGCACUCCGCCUGGGGAGUACGGCCGCAAGGCUGAAACUCAAAGGAAUUGACGGGGGCCCGCACAAGCAGUGGAGCAUGUGGUUUAAUUCGAAGCAACGCGAAGAACCUUACCAGGUCUUGACAUCCUUUGACCACUCUGGAGACAGAGCUUCCCCUUCGGGGGCAAAGUGACAGGUGGUGCAUGGUUGUCGUCAGCUCGUGUCGUGAGAUGUUGGGUUAAGUCCCGCAACGAGCGCAACCCUUGACCUUAGUUGCCAGCAUUCAGUUGGGCACUCUAAGGUGACUGCCGGUGACAAACCGGAGGAAGGUGGGGAUGACGUCAAAUCAUCAUGCCCCUUAUGACCUGGGCUACACACGUGCUACAAUGGAUGGUACAAAGGGUUGCGAAGCCGCGAGGUGGAGC
rnacentral:rRNA from 2 species